AUAAACAUUACAAUGGUAACUCUAGACAAAAUAUUUUAGUAGCUGGAGCCAUAUGAUUCCAGAAAAUUGGAAAAAUCAGUUGGUUGAAUCCAUGGAUGCAGAACUGACUGAUAUGAAAUGAAGACUCCAUGUUGCCAAUUUUACAUAUGAAAAUUAAAAGACGUGUGGUAGUACAUUAUUUUUAAAAAUUUAGAGGCCAUUUUAAAAAAAAGAUUGGAGGUUGCUUUAACCACCCAAUCUGGAUAAGAUGUGCCAUCUUGUAGUUCUUGUGAUUCCUUCUAUCAGAGAAUUUGCUACAACAUUUUUGUAACAGUCUAUUUACUUAUCUGCAUCCUUCACUAAAUAGGAAGCUCUUGUUGCCAGAAACGAUGUUUUGUGUAAGCAGUCUUGAGACUGAGAUUGUUAAUGAAUGUUUUUCUGGCUGAAUGAAUGCACAAAUAAACUGAGUUGGUUUUGGA